rnacentral:lncRNA from 1 species
CGGCUUGUCUAGAGAACUCGCCCGCCGCCACACACAAACGCAAUCGAACGCCACCAGAAAGAGAGGCGACCUGUGAGGGAGUAGAUGUGCCGCCGCGCGGACGAUUUCACCAGCGUCGUGGUCUCGAGCUUGGCAUGAGGGCGGACAUGUCACUUGGACCUCCUGCGACGGAUCAGGUCCAUCCCGUGUGGAGUCAUCGGCCAGGGCAAGACGGAAUCGCUCGUCGGGGCGAACCUGCCACCGUGUGGCCGCUGGUCACCAUGGGCGGGGUCUGUGCUGCAUGUGUACCGGUAGGACAUCCAUCCUCUAGUUCUUCUAUGUCUCAUUUAUGUAUAGCAGUCAUAGGAUCAGAGUUUCGGGCUUAGGUUCGAUGGGUGGCGAGGUCCGGCCAUGGCCUCCACCGUGGGCGCACCAUCUCCGCCGCUCUGGUGGUCGUGAGGUGGAAGGCCGCCCAGGGUCGUUGGAUCCUCGAUGAAGGGUGGAGGUGUGGCGAUAGUUUUGGCCGUUGGAUCAGGAUUGCGCGAUCGCGAUUAGCUAUAGGGCGACAUCUCGGCCAUAGUUCAUCCUGGUCGUGGAUCAGUCAGUGGACGGCUUCGAUUAAAUCGCCUGGUACCCCUUUGACUCAUUAAAUCAUAGCCAUAGAUUGUGAGAUAAACGGUGGAUCCGGUUUCAUUAACUCGGGGCCAACAGAUCUUGAUCCAAUGCUCCUGGUUACCUACCGAUUCAACUUCUAAUCUGGGCGCUUGAUGAGUGAUCUUGCGGCUCAGAUCGUCCAAUACCCCUUCGUCGUGCGCUUCUUUUAAAAGAGACCCUGAGAAAUUGACAAAACAACCCGCCGUCCGUGCCCUGUGUAAAGUAUUUAUAUCUGUGCCCUGGAAAUUCAUAAAACAGCCCCUGAACUCUGUGAUAUUAGUGGCUGCAGUCCUGAACUAGAUAAAAUAGGAUAAUUUCAUAUAGAAAAUAGUUUUUAGUAUAAAAGUAAUUCCAUAAAAUUAUUUAAUUCAUAACUAAUUCAUCUUAAUUCCUUUUUGACCCAUUCCAGUUUCAUUAGAUCUAUAAUAAUAUUAUCUAUCCUUUGGUAGCUUUAUUUCCCAAAGAAACCUAAAUAAGAAUUAUGUACUCAAUCUCUUUUGUACCCAACACUUAAAUCUUCGAAACAUAAUAACUUGAUGACCGUAACUCCGAUUUUAGUGAUUCUCGAGCCCAUGAUCUCGUAGCGACGAGUAGAUCAUUAUUAUGCAGUUUGUGCUUAUGUUUGGUGUGAUGUUAAUUUUGUCUAUACCAUGUUUGUUUGUAUUGCUACGACUAGCGUAAGGUCACGAGUCACCUGAAGAUCAUCCUGGUACCUGGAAUCUCAAGUCCCAGGCAAGUUGUGCCCUUGAUCACUUCUUUUUACCCACUCAUGUUCUAAUUAAUCAUAAUGAUCUGCAUAGGUUAAUUUUGAUGGGACCCAAUAGGUUACCCUAGUUUGAUUAUCUUUAUACCUUGUUUACCACUGAACUUUUUGGGUAGUACUUGCUAGUGCUUUAUAUGGUUUUGGGUAUGAAGAUACAUUAUUCAUGAUCACACUUUUAUUAUCUAUUUAUUAUUACUGUGCAUGAUAAGAUCAUUAUGUUAAUUGGAACAUGGAGCGACCACCCGGGAAAACAGUGCUACCACAAGGAUUUAAUGGGACGCCCUUGGCUGAUUAAUUAGGAAAGCUAGUGGAAGACUACCUUACCCGAAAGGGGCAAGGGCAGUAGGGGAGUGGUCAGUGUAGGGAGGUCCUUGGGAUGAUUUUGCUGCGAUGGCGAUCAUGCGGGGGAUCCCUGCAUUGGAGCUUCCUAUAAACUAUAGCGGGUUUUCUGAAGCUAGUGGAACUUUGUAAAGGCCUCGUAGUGUUACCCUGCCUCGCCUCCUCGGUAGAGGUGUAUGGGAAGUCGCGAUCCCUUGGCAGAUGGGUAACAUGACUUGUGGGUAAAUAUGCGCAACCUCUGCAAAGUGUAAAACUGGUAUACUAGUCGUGCUCACGAUCAUGAGCAACUCGGACCCUCACAUGAUUAAUUUAUGAAACUAAAUUCAAUAUGUCAUAUGCAUUGCAUCGCAGGUGAUGUUGUUACUUUUGUUCUAUUACUUAAUUGGGUUGGUAUUUACUUAUACUUAGUAAUUGCUAAUAAAUUUUUGACCAACUUUAAAAGCAAUGCUCAGCUCUAACCAUCCUCUUUGGUAAGCCUUACACUUCACGUGAGCUCCCACCUUUGGCGAGUUCAUGCACAUUAUUCCCCACAACUUGUUGAGCGAUGAACGUAUGUGAGCUCACUCUUGCUGUCUCACACCCCCCACAGGUCAAGAACAGGUACCCCAGGAUGAGGCGCAUGGAGGAUGCUGCGAUGUUCGUGAGAGGUCUAGGUCGUCGUCUUCCAGUCAACUUUGGGGUGCUGGACCGUUGUCUCCUUAUAUGUAAUUAAUUAUUUAUUUUGUGUAGAACUCUUAUUAUAUAGUAAAGAUGUGACAUUCGAU